GGCUGAGUCAGAGGCACAGAAUUAGGCCCGACCCACACGGGGGUAGGGUCUGUUCUGCGUCCUCCUGACAGCCUGGC
ensembl:miRNA Mir9769 predicted gene, 38670